GCCUCCAUGGCUCAGUGGCAGAGCGUCUGUCUAGUAAACAGAAGGUCGUGAGUUCGAUUCUCACUGGAGGCA